rnacentral:rRNA from 1 species
UACGGGGGGAGCAAGCGUUGUUCGGAUUUACUGGGCGUAAAGGGCGCGUAGGCGGCCAGCACAAGUCAGUUGUGAAAUCUCCGAGCUUAACUCGGAAAGGUCAACUGAUACUGUGCGGCUAGAGUGCGGAAGGGGCAACUGGAAUUCUUGGUGUAGCGGUGAAAUGCGUAGAUAUUCGGAGGAACACCAGUGGCGAAGGCGGCUCACUGGCUCGGUACUGACGCUGAGGUGCGAAAGCGUGGGGAGCAAACAGG